UUGGCCUACAAUAGCACUAAUUUAAUAGCACUUUUUCUGAAGUGCUAUUAAAAAUCUCACUCUGAUGUUUAUAAUAGCGCUUUUUGUCAGAAGUGCUAUAAUAUAGUGAAAACAAAUUUUGAAAGAGGCCUUUAAUAGCGCUUUCCUUGCGAGCGCUAUAAAAUAUAUAUCCCUUUGAUAGCACUUUUAUUGAAACGCUAUUAUAGGUCUUUCCGGAAAAAAAAAAUAAAACACUAAAAAAUUUCGCUGAAAAAUUUCAUAAGGUUUCAUUCUAUUUUUCUCGGUCCGCCGUUUCACUCUUCCUCACUCUCCAAUCUCCAUAUCCAUCGUUCUUCAUGGAACUCUCAAUCAUCACUCUCCAACUCCAUCGUUCCUCACUCUCCAUCGCUAACUCAUCAAUUGAACCCUCAAACCUUCUUCUCUCCAUCAUUCCCCAAAACUUAUUAAACCCUAAAUCCCAAAUUGACCCCAAAAAUUGAAGGAUUGAUACCAUUGUUGAAGGCUAGAAGGAGUUUUCUGUUUGCAUUCAAACGAGUUUAGUAGAAUCAAUGUUUCUGAUCUCAUUCCACGAACCCUAAUCAGGUUUAGCUCUGAUGUUCUGCCGGUUAUGUGUUUGCCUCUGUUGUCCAGGUUAUUUUUGUGGUUUAGAUGUUACUGGAAGAGUUUUUAAUUGGUAAACUAUUAAAUUGUCUAUUGAUUUUAUAGGUUUUGAUUGGAUUAUGAAGUAAGAAAUGGCUUAAUUAUGAACUUCCAUGUGACUGUUUCUGCAUGUUGUUUUUCUUUUUGAUGAACUAGUGUUUCUGUGUGUUAUAGACUUAUAGUUUUCUUGUUAAUUGUUAAACAUGUAUUAACUAGAUUGAUAUAUAGAACCUGGUGUAUGAGUUUGGUUGCAGUUGCUUAGUGUAACAGCCUCUUUGACAGACCUGGAUAGUUGUAUUGUGUCUAUCUCUGUAUUUCUGGUGAGCAGCAUCACCCCCCUCUUUCUUAUUCAUCAUCUUUAUUUAUGUUGCUUUCACUCUCCAAGACAGAGAAGAAUGAGAUGAGUUUUGUUAUACUGACUUAUAAGUAGAAAAUAGAGAAAGGGGACAAUUGGCAUAAUAUACUCACUCUACACUGCAGAAUCAGUAAGAGCAAGAAGCUGCCGCUACGCAAGGGGUCCGGUCUCACCUUCGUCGACGACAUCAAGGACUUCUUGAAAACAUGAGAAAGAUGCUGGCUAGGUUUGGAAAAUGGCGGAGUAUUACUUAGGUUAAUUAGUUGUCUUGUUUUGAUUAGUGUUAUGAACAUCAUAAUUCAUAUGGUUGCUUAGGUUAAUUAGUUUGGAAAUGGUUUAGGAGCUUAUUGUGAAUGUUGUAGUAAACCAAACUCUGGUACAGUAGUAAGGAAGUUUGCUUUUGUCUUGUACACAGAAUUGUCUUGCUUUGUGAAGGGAGGGAGCCUCAUGUAAUUUGAUUGUACUUAUUGGCCUUCCUUGUGCCUUUUUAUCUUUAAUAUAUUUUUGGCUUUUUGUCCUUA